rnacentral:rRNA from 1 species
UACGUAGGGUGCGAGCGUUAAUCGGAAUUACUGGGCGUAAAGCGUGCGCAGGCGGUUCGUUAUGUCCGAUGUGAAAGCCCCGGGCUUAACCUGGGAAUGGCAUUGGAAACUGGCGGGCUUGAGUGCGGCAGAGGGGGGUGGAAUUCCGCGUGUAGCAGUGAAAUGCGUAGAGAUGCGGAGGAACACCAAAGGCGAAGGCACUGUCCUGGGGAGCUUCUGACGCUCAGGUGCGAAAGCCAGGGGAGCGAACGGG